GCAAGGAGGUCAAGGACCAAACGUCCAGGUGUAGAUAAUGGGUUGUCACUGUGGAUGUAGAAGUCACCGAAAUGACGACAGGGGUGUGGUGGUGCCAGCAGUGAGCGGGGCUAAAGUCUUCGCAGAGGACCACAGCGAUGGGGAAGGGGCAGACAACUGCAUCGGAGGGGUGAUGUGUGCCGUCCAGGAAGGCCGCAUGCAGCCCGCCCAGCCUGCGCUCGAGCUCCCUUUCCCGGGGUCCGUCCUCAGAACCCACCGUCAGAUGGGAAAAGCUGAGGAGCAAAGGGCUCAGUCCCGGCGUCAGGAUCCAGGCAUGCUUAGGGUCAUGGAAACUCCUGGGUAAAGCUUCGGCGAUGGGCGGGGCUCCAGGGAGGACCCAUACCAGGUGACAAAAAAGCCUGCUCCCUGCUGGCUCGCAGAUCCACGAGGGUCCUGCGUGCAUGAGGUUGGGCUGCCCUGCGUGGGCGGGUAACCGCCCCCACAUCCAGUGAAACGUGGGCUCUGCGAUGAAGGGGAGAGAGCUGGCUGCCGCUAGGGGCAAAGGAUGGGGGAUGGCGUCGGGCCAGUGGCUCAGGAGGGCAGUGACAGCUGCCUGGAGAUUUGCCGGCCGAGUUGCCUGGUGAUUAGCCACACUACCAAGACUGAGCUGAGAGCCACGUGGUGAUUGGCCAGGGGUGCGGCUGUGACAUCAGGAGGAGGGCAUUGUGACGCACAGGGAGGUUAUAAAAGCCGGGUGCCCGCCGCAGGCCUCACUGAGGGGACAGAUGGCGCCUCCCCCGAGCUCCUCCUGUUCUUCACAGUGUACUACACCGCCUUCUCCAGCCCAGGGGAUGGCCCACCCCUGGCCCGCUUGUCCUGCAGGGGCCUCUCGCGCACCUUGCGCUCCACCUUCAGGUCGGUCGGCCUCUGGCGCCUCGGCGGUGCCGCAAGCGCCUGCACUGGCACCCGGCGCCUCAGCAGCCUGCGCCCCGCAGCUGGGUGUCCCCGUUCUGCAGGGGGAAGUCAUGUGCGUGGAAUCAGAGCACAGCGGCUCCUCGCCCAGCCGGAGAGGGCCCCUCCCAGACCCACAGCGUCGCAACCGGGUUCAGCACAGGGGGCUCGAGUUCCUCGGACACUCAACAGACAUCCCACCCACCUCAGCAAUGGGUGAAUGAGGCUGCUGGACACCUGGUCAAUUGCGAGCCCCCACCCCAGCUCAACACAGAGCAAGCGAGUCCCCCAGACACGCAGCCCACCCCAGGAGGGCGCAGAAAAGGAGCCGGGGCGGAAUGUGGGCCCCCUCCUUGAGUGGAGGUGAUGUGAGCUUCACAAUGUAUGUGAGUUUUAAACUGUGUUGAAAUGCAAAAGAAGUGUCCCCGAGUGAUUGCGAUGUACAGCUCAGGGUCACAGGCACUGCACGUCCCAUGAGUCGUCACAUUCUCCAGCUGGUCGGUCCCGACAGGGCCAGUGUCUGAUCUGACUCAGAGCAGAGCCGAGGUGGACAGGGGUCUCCACAGCUCUGAGAAAGUGCCCGUGAACUAUAGAGAGCUGACACUGAGGACAACCUGCCCCUCCCCGUCAACACUUUUCAUACAUGUUGACGACACUGAAAGUCAAAGCUGCACUGAGGUGGGCGCCGUUCUGAUAAAUAGAAAAGCAAAAGCAGUGUCCGCACCGGCUGUUUCUUCCCAGACCACUUCUGGCCGAGACCUCCCAGCCAGUUUGUGGCAGACGUGGGCUCAGACCCGGAUGGGACCGCUCCAAGCUGCUUCGGCCCGCAGCAGGUGUCAUUUCCCAGGAUCCCCUGAGGGAGCCCAGGCUGUGGGGGCAAGCAAGGAUGGGCCAGUUCCACGAUGGGCUAGAGCGCUGCACUAACGUGAGAUGGGACGCACGUUCCCCACCUAUCCACUCCCCCCAAUUUCCUGCUUGUGAAUGACCUCUGCCCUCAUCCCCACCACCAAAAUGUAGUCGCAGAGGGAAAAUAGCCUGGUAGUCACCUCACCUGGAAGCCCCAAGGGCCAGUCUCUCCCUCUCCCUGCAUCAGCCUGGACCUGAUGUGUGGUGCUCCCACAUCCACCUGGGCGCUCCCUCAGGGAACUAGAGCCUUCACCAGCCAUUCCAGAACCAGGAUUCUCAUGGAGGGUUCUCCUUCCAGGCGGCCACCAGGGCCAUGCCCACACCCAGCCCAGCCUCUUCCAGGCUGCAAGCCUCAGGUACCUCCAAUAGAUUCCUUCUUGCUCAGAUUAUCCAAGGCCAGGCUCUUUGACCCAGGUGAUACAGAGCUGUGAAAUAAGUUGACUUUUCAUGUCACCCAAAUUAGACAGAAUGAGGGGAAUACCCUUGUUCCCCACAAAGCGUGGAUCAGGCAUUUCAACCCAAGUCUGUCUAUACCCAGAGUGUCUCCCCACAUGGUCAAUCAUAGCUGGCCCCACAGAUGGGGCAGUCUGUUUAUUCAGGGCUAAUCAAAAUAUAUCUUUGGGAAACUCUUAUGCCAAACGUAACCCUGACCCCUUUCUACACCAAAACGGGUUUCCUGAAAUGAAAAUGGUGGCCUGAACCACAUUCUCAAAGUCAGGGGUUUCAAUCCAGAAGACUUCUUCGGCUGAACUGAAGGUGAGCUCACCGUGUUCAUCUCACGCUCCUCAGUGUGGCAGCGGUGGGAGGCCUGGACUGGAGUGGGUAGCCCAGGGUGCAGCUGCAGCGAUGCCCCAGAUGCAGCUGCUGGACUCAGGGUUCUGUGGGUAUUGUGGGACAGUCAGCCUGGAGGGAGCAUCGCUGUGCAGAGCCUUGUAGAUGCCCCUGCCUUUGUAGACAUCUGCUUUCUUUUAUGAAAACAAGUGCAACUAGGCGGGCUGAGCCCUCUGUCCAACAUGGCAAAACGAGAGAUCAGAUUCAACGACAUGGGACCCAGGAGAAGAGGUGCCGGCUCUCUGGGCAAAUCACGGAAGUAAAGCUGAUGUUUCAAUACUCCAUUUUUGAAUAUCAGAUUUUCUAAUGCAAAUGUAAAAUAUAAUGUAUUCAUAUAACAGUUUGCAGUAAACUGUGUUUCCUACACCUCGGCAGGAAGGAAGACGUCCCCCCAUUUCUGCCCUGAUUGUCCCUGCUGUCCCCCUUGCUCUCCGCCAUCUGCACUCAGGGCCCUGAGGCGGCCUCUGUCCUGCUGGCCACAGGGAAAUGGAAUGGAUGUGUAGUAAUUUCUGAAUCAGAGCAACAUAGAUGUUGCUAAAAACACGAAAUGAGUUGAAAGAAGAGGCAGCAGAGAGGGAUGGAAGCUGAGGACUCUGUCCAUCGUCCACCCAUUUGACAAGGAUGACCGCAGGGCUUCUCCCGGCUUCAAGGGCAGGGGCCGUGCUGGGCACGGGGCGCAGAGGGGGCCUGGGUCUGUGAGACAACGCUACACGAACCUCACAGAGACGGUCACCCCAACUCCCCACCUGCUCUUCCUUCCAGUUGCUUACGCCCCAAAGUGUCAUCCUGCCCCCUCCUCCCCGCACAGCCCCCCACGGAGGCAUGCUAGCGGGUUGGCACCUUUCUAUUUUCAGAAAUAAGAACAUGAAGCUCAGUUCCGUUCACACUGUCACCACCUCAUCUAAGGAGGGAGAUUUUCCCACCCCCUAGGAAGGACACAACUUCAGAGAAAAGCCAGUCCCUUCCGAGAAACAGGGACAGGUGGCUGAUUGUCCAGGCCAGGCCCCUUUGAGGGUGAAGGGACGUUCCCCACCAUCAUAGGACAGGGGGACAACAGGCCUCACCAGUGGUCAGGCACAGAGGAUGUGCAGUCACCUGCCAGGAGAGGGCGCUGGGACGCAGGUGCCCUGCGGAGCCUGCUGUCCUGGAACCCACACGGAGAAGGUGCCUCAGGGGAACAGGUGUGGUCAGUGUGUCACUUGCUGAGGGGCCAGGAUGGGGGCACAGUGCGCACCAGCUGGUGGGGGUCAGGUGGUCCUGCUGGUCCCCUUGUGUCCCUCUUGCUGGUUCCGUGGGUCGCCCCCAGCUGCUGCAUCGUGGGCCCCUGCAGGCUCCUGCAGAGGACUGCCCUACGUGACGUGCCACUUAGGCCCAGGUGCAGGGAGUGGAAGCGACGGGCACUCAGGCUGCCCCCAGGUCUCCCGAGCCUUUGAGCCUUCGGCUGGCUGGCACUGGAGGAGGCAGGUGUAACUUGUGCCCAGGGCCCCACAGGAUCAGAUGGCACACACACACCACGUGGCCUCUGGGGUGCUGUGCAGUAGACCUGGCCCACUGGGAAGCAGCCCGCCAGCCCAGACCGCUUUCCACACUUAGGACGCCACCAAUCGGCGGCAAACGGGUUGAGCCUGGAGGAGAAAGCUCUCCCUACAGAGCCACAGCAGGUGUCCUGGAUGGCCAAGGGCUCUGCCCCAGGAUCUGUGCGCUCCUUCCACACAGUGGAACGAGUGGGACGGAGACGGGUGGAUCGGCAGGUGAAGGAUUUCCCACCUUCUGUGAUGAACAGGUAGCUGUUUGAACUACUCUGGUGUCCUCUAUUUAAAUAAGCUAAACUUCCCCUGCUUGUCACCAUCUCUGGUCUCAUGUUUCUACAACCACUUGAUCAUUUAGGAAAUCUCUUGGGUGACCUGUGACCAGUCAAGCCCUCAGCCGGCCUCAGGUCAGGUCACCUGCUGGUUGCAGGAGGAGAACUUCCUGGGCUGGGCUGCCUCCACCCCUGCUGAGGGGGCAGCUGCUGCCUCUGACGCCCUGUGUGCCCAGCUUCUGAGAGAACGGGGUCUCGGCAGUGCUGAGAGCCAAAGUCAGAGGCUCACACACCCCGAGCCAGGUCAGCCCCUUGGCCCUCAUCCCCCCUCAUCCCCAAACAGAGCCAGCCGGGACCCUGCAGGGGCUCCAGAACCAUCAGCAUCGGCACCACGGGAAUGCGGACCCGCCCGGGACCAGGAUGUCCCACCCUCAGAGCAGUCAGGGGUGGGGCCGGAGGAAAUCCAGGACAAAACAUUUGGAGAUGGAGUGUGGUAACAGCUGCUGACCUGUCCACCAGGCAAGACCCUCCACCUGCAAAAAGAUUAUGACUCAUUAACAGCUCAGAUGGUGGUUAGCAUUUUUCAGCAAUAGAAUUUUUUAAUUAAGAUGUGUACAUUGCUUUCUUAGGUAUAGUGCUAUUGCACACUUAAUAGACUACAGUGUAAUAUAGACAUAACUUAUACGCACUGGGAAACCAAAAAAUUCGUGUGACUGGCUUUAUUGCGGCGGUCUGGAACUGAACCCGUAAUAUCUCCAAGGUGUGCCUGUAUUCGGUCGGCCAAUCCCCAAACACCAAGCCAACUCUGGCCCUUCUCACGCCAGACAAGGUUGACUAUGUGGCCACAGCCAAUCAGAUAUUUUCUAUUUGUCUCUUCCUUGUUCUUUAUUCUUUAUCCUAUAAAAUCUUCUUGCCUUCUGCUCCAUUGUGCAGUUCUCCUGAGGGAGACUGUCCACUUCAUGAUGUGUUAAAUAAAGUUUGUCUGUAUCACCUAAAUUGUCCUCUUUAAUCUCUUUUUUAACACAGAUUAGGGAUGCCACAGGAGAAAAUUAUGUGUGACGUGAAAGGAGGAAGUCAAGCAGUGGCCACUACCCUUGCAGGGGAACGUGGGAAGCCAGGCACUAUGAAACCUGCAUACGUCACUGACCUGCUGUCCCCUCGGCCCCUUGUCUUGUGUCAGGUGAGGGUCUGCGGCCAUGUGGUAAGGUCCCAGCCUCUUCUACAGGUUGCCUGCAUUAAUGAAGCUGAAGGGACACAAGACAGACAUGAUAUGUUUGCCUUCAGGGGCUCCAGGUUGUCCCUGGAUGUGCCAGCCUGUCCUUGCUCUCCCCCACUUCAGACCCAGACUCAAUGGCCUUCCACAGGCUUUUCACUAUUGCCUUGUCACUUACAAAGCUUCUACUUCUAUGAUUGAACUCUGAUACAGAAUCAUACACCUGUGUAUCUCCCUGUCUUAGCUAGAGACUGAUUGUUUGUAGAGAACAUAACCUUCUCAGUCUAGCUUUCUUUAAGGAAAGGUAUUCCAAAAAGAAAAACGGGCAAACCACUUGAAAAGGUACUUUACAAAAGAAGAUACUAAAUCUCUAAUAAAUACAUGAAAAGGCACUCAACUCAUUAGGGAAAUGCAAGUUGAAACCCUAAUGAAGUAGCACACCCACCGGAAUGGUGAAAAUUAAAAAGAAUGGCGAUUCUACAUGUUCACAAGGAUGUGGAACGACUAGAACUUGCAUACCCAGCAAUUCCACUCCCAAGACACCACAGAGAAAUGAGAGCAGAUAGCCACCAAAAGGUAAAUACAACAAUGUUCACACCAGUUUAUUGGUUAAUAUUAAAAAGAAAAAACUGGAAACAACCCAGUGUCCGUCAGUGAAUAAUGAACAAAUAAAUAAAUUGUGGUGUACUCAUAUAAUGGAAGACUACACAGCAGUUUAAAAAAAUCUAAAACUGUUGACACACAACAUGGAUGAAUGUCACAGAAACUUAGUUGAGUGAUGGAAGAUAAGUGCCACACAGCAGUCUCGACUCAUUCCUCCUGAAUGAGUGACUAGCUGGUGCUGAAGAGGACCUGAAGCUACGACGUGCUCACAUCGAUGUGAAGACAAAAGCCAGUGCCCAACAUGUUUCCAUCAACAAGCUGAUGCCCCUUGGAAGCUCGCUGGAUGUUCUUUUAACCUGUUCCACCUGGACAGCUGGGGAGAUGUGGCAGGACUUGAGGUCUGGAUUCAGGACUCCACCCUCAGAGGGUUCUCUGCUCAGUCCAAUUCAGGCCAUAAGACUCAAGAACCAGACAUUCUGUUUAAUUCCAGUUCGAAUUGUAAGUUGGCUGUCAGAUAGCAAGGGUUAAAUUAAAUACUUGAAGUAUAAAGUGCUACAAGAAAAUGUAUGUGGAUAUAUUAUCUAUCAGCAUUGUUGCUAUAUAUGUGUAUGUGUAUACUGAUAUAGGUACAUGUAUAUUAAUAUUGCUAAUAUUAGGACCACACCCAUAACACAUACCCCUCUAAAUCGAUACAUCUAUACACUGUUGUUAGCAUAUUUUUCCUGAAAUGCCGUUCUAUCUUUUUUAUUGUUUAGAGAGUAUGAAUCCCAGUCCACAAACCCAGAUGUGCAAUACAUAUUUUCUUUUCUAUAAGUCAAUGUAAUUUCUGACCCUAAGCUUUCAUUCUGCAGAGCUGGUGGGAAACAAUUCAGUCCGUGGGGAUGUCUUCUCCCCAAAUUUCAGCACUGUUCUGGGGUAUUUGGGAAUGUGGGGGGGGGGGUGCGGCGGGGCACACAUUUCUGCUCUGACAUCUAUUGUCAUCAUCCAUGUGGCCACCUGAGACACAGUGGCUUACCACUGCCUGUGCCUCCAGCUGCCUGUGAUUCCAUUUGCUUAGUCUUCUUCUGGGAUCCGCCACCUCCCUGGAGAGUCUUCUGGGAAGUAGGGCCUGGGAGGCUCUGCUCUUACCCACAGCUUUCUCAGUCUUCUCUGGACAGGAAAACCUUCCCACCUCCUGAUUCUAGAAGCACUCUGUCUUCCUCCACAAAUCUCUUUCCUUUUUACCUCUUCCAGGCCUCCCCCCAGCUCUCCUAGAGGCCUAGGAUUUUGAAGAUCAGAAGCCAGAAAAGCUGACAGGCUAUUCUAUUUUCAGUCACACCACAUGCCUUGCUAAUCCCUUGAAGUACUAAGUGAGUACUGUGAAAGUGAGUACUGCUUGAAUGGAGGAGAAAAAAAAGGAAGAAAAUACAGGAAUAUGUUUGUUAAGUAAGUGUGUUGGGGCACAAUUCUAAGAUGACCCCACGUGACCCUUGCGCUUGUACAAUGCCCCUCUGUGAGUGGGUAGAACCCGUGAACACGAUGAGAUAGCACCUCUGGGACUGGGUUACGUUGCACUUGAAGAUAGGGAGAUCGUCUGGGGAGCCUGGCCUGAUCACACGAGCCCUGGGAAAGUAGCUUUCUCUGGCUGGCGGCAGAAGAAGAGGCAGGGAUUCAAAGUCUGAGAGUGAUUCCAAGCCAGGGAGGGUCUCCAGCGCUGCCUUUGAAGAUGGAGGGGGCCACAUGGUAGACCUCUGGGAGCUGAGAGGACCCCCACCUGACAGCCAGCCAGGAAGUGGGGCCCUCAGUCCUACAGCCACAGGAGUGGAAUUCUGCCUCAACAUGUCAGCUUGGAAGAGGGUCCGAGCCUGAGACAAGACCCGGGCCCAGCUGACCCCUUGACCGCAGCUUCAGGUGAGCUGAGAACCUGCUACACUGACCUGCAAGAAUUCUGACCUGUAAGCUUACCAGUGGAUGUUUUAAGUCACUAAGUCUGUGGUAUUUUGUUACUCAGCAACUGAAAAUUAAUACAAUAAGUUACAAUAUGAAAAUAUUGUCCAAACGGAUGUGUUUUGUCUGGCCUGGUUUAUCUACAUUGCAUGCCCCCUGCCAACAAUUAUUUCUCAAAGGGAAGAGGCUGAUGGUUUAAGGGGCUCAGUAUGUAGCCCACCAGACGCCAGGCUCCAGUGACACUAAACAGGCUCCCGGGUCAGCUGCUGCUGGCUCCCAGUGCCCUAGAAAGCUUCUGUUAAGGGACAGAGCCACAUUCAGGUGUCCCGAGCAGCAGGUGACUUCUGCAGAAAGCAAUAUUUAAAAGUCUCACCGUGCCAUUUAAGACUCUUGUGGUGAAAAGGAGAAAACUGAGUGUCAGGAAACCCAGCUCUGCCAUUAGCCAGCUGAGCAAAUGUGGGCAAGUUGCUUUACCUCUCUGAGCCACAAUGCCUCAUCUAGAAAAUGAGAGACACAGACUAGGUGGUCUCAAAGGCCCAUUAAGACCUUUCAUGCUUCCAUUUAACAAAUGCUUGCUGAGGUCCUAGUAUGUGCCAGGUCCUGAGCAAGGCGCUGGGAACACAGCUGUGAAUUAGACAGAACCUGUGCCCUCACUGGGCUCCGAUUUCCCAUGGGAGUAUUUGACAGUCCACACAGGGAAGAGAGGACUCCCACUUAGAAAACAGUGGGUGUUUUAGGCUGCCACAGUCCCCACUAGCUUCAUCCUGCCUUUUCCGGGUGACGUCUCAGCUCGGGCCCACCACACCAGGCCAUGAAGUCCUCACACACCGAAACCAGAGGAGAGCCGCAACGGUCCGGUGCAAUUUGGAAGAAGAAAGGCUUGAGGAAGGGCAGAGACUCCAGCUCAUUCUACUGCAGGACUUUGGGCAAAACCCGCCCUUCAUUUCAUUUGGCCACUGAAGGACUAAUCAAAAAUAUUUAGAAUCAAUACCAACCUUUGAUUAGGUCAAAAUUGUUAAAGAGGCAACUUGUUCUCAGCUAGCUGCCAACUAAUUUUGAUUAAAGCGAGAGCCAAUAGCUCGACACUUUUAUGGAAUUUCAGAAUCUCUGGGGAAGUGCCCUGAAGGGUAAAGCCGUCUCAGAAAUCUCUCUACCACCUUCUUGCCAAGUGGUUUUCCAACUCUCCUCAAGCUCACUGCUUUCCUGGGCAGCCCUUGUGGACCAUGCUGUUUUGGAAAGCUGGGUCUUUCCCCAAGCUGAGACCUGGGUCCUGGCAGGCUUUUUCCUAUCGCCCUGCUCGGCUCUCCUGUGUGUGCACAUAAGCCAGUGUCCUCUUCACGUGAAUCCCUGUGGAGGGCUGCUUUCCUAUCGUACUUUCUUCCUCCAAGUCAGGUGGCCAUGGUUCUUCCAUCCAUUUUUCCAGUUUUGUGACCUUGAGUCCCCUCAUCAUUCGCUCUCCUGCAGACACUGCUGGCUCACCAGUCCCCUCCAUGGAGUGUGGUGUCCAAAACCCAGCUAUGUGUGGUUUUUCACUAAUUAGAUCAGGUUGGUCCACUUCCUGGAUGUGGUACGUUGGUUAGUGCAAACUAAUACUGUAUUAGUUCAUGUUAGCAACCAAUCACAGAUAGCCCACAACUAAGCAGCUAAAACCCCAAAGUCCUUUUUCAACAGGAUUAUUUUGAUGGGAAGUGAUAAGACACAACUCAAACUGAUGCUGAAAAGGAAAUUUCUUGGCUCACCUUACUUGUGAAUUUCAAGGGUUGAAUGUAGCUUUAUGCAAGGUCUGUCUGCAGCCGGGUCUUUAAUGAAAGUGCCGCAGUUCUGUCUGUCUGUCUCUCUCCACGCCAUGCCCCGGUUCUGCUGCCUCAAUUGGGUCUGAUACUCAGUCAAGUCCUCUCCAGAGGGAACCAAUGGCCCCAGUUGCUCCAGCCUCCCAUCCUACCAGCAGGUUAGCACCCCCAGUGAAAGAGUGCCUCUUUCCCAAGGUCCUGGGAGAACUCUGUCCUGGGCUGAUCACUGUUCGCCAAGAUCCAAUCACCGAAGCAGGAAGAUGGGGUGCUCCAACUGACCAAGCCUGAUCCGGCAGCCACCCUCACGUCAGGGGUUCCUCAGAGGAAAGAGUGUUUUUACAACCAAAUGAAGGCAGAGGAACACUUGUUAGACAAGAACAGUAAAUGCUCGCUCCAGUUGUGUCUGCUCGCUCCAGUUGUGUCAGCUGUAUUUAAAUCUUGGCCAUUCUAUGCAGCCAUCCUGGGCAUGGAAUCAGCACCAAGCCAGCGUCUGCACAGGGAAGUAAUAGCCCUCUCAACACGGAUGAUACUGCAUGCUGCUUUGUAAUCUGUUUUAUUUUCACUUAACGUUAUAAGAUAAACAUUUCCUCAAGACAUCAAGAAUUCCUUAUGACAUAUUUUAAAAUGCUGUAUACUAUUUCAUCUAUGUACCAUCGUUUGUCUAAUUAUUUCCCUAUUCUUAGACACCAUGUUAUUUUCUUCCUUUCUUUUUUUGUGUCUGUAAAUAAUAUACAGCAAUUUGAACAUUUUUUUCAGAAUUUCUGACUAUUUCUUUAGAAUAAAUUGUAUUAUAUUGGCUAGAAAUUUCCAAGCUUAAAUUUGGAGACCAUGAACAAG
ensembl:lncRNA